rnacentral:rRNA from 1 species
ACAGCAGCAGCCGCGGUAAUACGGAGGAUCCAAGCGUUAUCCGGAUUUAUUGGGUUUAAAGGGUGCGUAGGUGGCCUGUUAAGUCAGGGGUGAAGGACGGUAGCUUAACUAUCGCAGUGCCCUUGAUACUGAUGGGCUUGAAUGAACUAGAGGUAGGCGGAAUGUGACAAGUAGCGGUGAAAUGCAUAGAUAUGUCACAGAACACCAAUUGCGGAGGCAGCUUACUAUGGUUUUAUUGACGCUGAGGCACUAAAGCGUGGGGAUCAAACAGGAUUAGAUACCCGCGUAGUCCCUGUCUCUUAUAC